rnacentral:rRNA from 1 species
AUUAGCGGCCAUAGCGGCAGGGAAACACCUGGUCUCAUUUCGAACCCAGAAGUUAAGCCUGCCAGCGCCGGAAGCGGCACUGGUCUUUGUGACCGGAGCCCUUUGGACGCUGCUAAUC